ACUUGUCUAGCUCAGUUGAUAGAGCGUAAAGCCCUUAACCUUGUGGUUGUGGGUUUGAUCCCGUUUUGGGCG